CGGGAGUUCGUUCAGCGGCAAGGACGGAAGAUUUUGGAUCUUCUCACCUGGGUUCGAGUCCCAGACUCCCAGCCA
rnacentral:tRNA from 1 species